rnacentral:rRNA from 1 species
UACGUAGGGUGCGAGCGUUGUCCGGAAUUAUUGGGCGUAAAGAGCUCGUAGGCGGUGUGUCACGUCGGUCGUGAAAACCUGGGGCUUAACUCUGGGCGUGCGGUCGAUACGGGCAUCACUAGAGUUCGGCAGGGGAGACUGGAAUUCCUGGUGUAGCGGUGAAAUGCGCAGAUAUCAGGAGGAACACCGGUGGCGAAGGCGGGUCUCUGGGCCGAUACUGACGCUGAGGAGCGAAAGCGUGGGGAGCGAACAGG